UACGUAGGGUGCGAGCGUUAAUCGGAAUUACUGGGCGUAAAGCGUGCGCAGGCGGUUUCACAAGCUCGAUGUGAAAGCCCCGGGCUUAACCCUGGGAAUGGCAUUGAGGACUGUGGAGCUCGAGUGCGGCAGAGGGAGGUGGGAAUUCCACGUGUAGCAGUGAAAUGCGUAGAGAUGUGGAGGAACACCGAUGGCGAAGGCAGCCUCCUGGGCCGACACUGACGCUCAUGCACGAAAGCGUGGGAGCAAACAGG
rnacentral:rRNA from 1 species